UUUCCAUAGGUGAACCUGUGGAAGGAUCAUUGUCGUGACCCUGACCAAAACAGACCGCGCACGCGUCAUCCAAUCCACCGGCGACGGCACCGUCCGUCGCUUGGCCAAGUCCUCGACCGCCUGCCCUCCUCGGAGUGGGGGCUCGGGGUAAAAGAACCCACGUCGCCGAAGGCGCCAAGGAACACUGUGCCUAACUCGGGGGCAUGGUUAGCUUGCUAGUCGUCCCCUAUGUUGCAAAGCUAUUUAAUCCACACGACUCUC
rnacentral:misc_RNA from 1 species